rnacentral:rRNA from 1 species
UUAGUUAGUUGGUAGGGUAAUGGCCUACCAAGGCUGCGAUGGGUAGCCGGUCUGAGAGGAUGGUCGGCCACACUGGGACUGAGACACGGCCCAGACUCCUACGGGAGGCAGCAGUGGGGAAUUUUGCGCAAUGGGGGGAACCUUGACGCAGCGACGCCGCGUGGGUGAUGAAGGCCUUCGGGUUGUAAAGCCCUGUUGGGGGGGAAGAUAAUGACGGUACCCCCUGAGGAAGCCCCGGCUAACUACGUGCCAGCAGCCGCGGUAAGACGUAGGGGGCGAGCGUUGUCCGGAAUUACUGGGCGUAAAGGGCGUGUAGGCGGCUUUUCAAGUCGGCUGUGAAAUUCCCCGGCUUAACCGGGGGGGUGCAGUCGAAACUGAUGGGCUUGAGUGCAGGAGAGGGUGGUGGAAUUCCCGGUGUAGCGGUGACAUGCGUAGAUAUCGGGAGGAACACCGGUGGCGAAGGCGACCUCCUGGCCUGUUACUGACGCUGAGGCGCGAAAGCUGGGGGAGCAAACAGGAUUAGAUACCCUGGUAGUCCCAGCUGUAAACUCUGGGUACUAGGUGUGGGGGGCUUCGAUGCCCUCUGUGCCGUAGUUAAC